rnacentral:rRNA from 1 species
UACAGAGGUCUCAAGCGUUGUUCGGAUUCAUUGGCGUAAAGGGUGCGUAGGUGGCGCCGUAAGUCGGGUGUGAAAUUUCGGAGCUUAACUCCGAAACUGCAUUCGAUACUGCGGUGCUUGAGGACUGGAGAGGAGACUGGAAUUCAUGGUGUAGCAGUGAAAUGCGUAGAGAUCAUGAGGAAGACCAGUGGCGAAGGCGGGUCUCUGGACAGUUCCUGACACUGAGGCACGAAGGCCAGGGAGCAAACGGG